ACAUUCCCAGCUCUCCCUGGAGCUUCUCCUCUCCAGGUGAACAUUCCCAGCUCUCCCAGCAGAGCUGCUCCAUCCUCGGAUCCCCCUGGAGCUCCUCUGGCCUGGCUCCAGCAGCUCCAGCUCCUCCCUGUGCUGGGACAGGGCUGGGGCUGCUCUGCAGGUGCUGGGGGGGCUCACCUGGGGGGCAGAGGGGCAGGGACCCCCUCUCCUGCUCAUUCCCAUUCCCAUUUCCAUUCCUGUUCCUAUUCCCAUUCCCUGCUCAUUCCCACUCCCACUCCCACUCCCAUUCCCAUUCUCGUUCCCAUUCCCAUUCCCUGCUCAUUCCCACUCCAAUUCCCACACCCUUUCCCAUUCCCACUCCAAUUCCCAUUCCCAUUUCCUGCUCACUCCCAUUCCCACUCUCAUUCCCAUUCCCCUUCCCACUCCCUGCUCAUUCCCACUCCCACUCCCAUUCCUGUUCCUAUUCCCAUUCCCUGUUCAUUCUCACUCCCAUUCCCAUUCUCGUUCCCAUUCCCAUUCCCUGCUCAUUCCCACUCCAAUUCCCACUCCAAUUCCCAUUCCCAUUUCCUGCUCACUCCUAUUCCCACUCUCAUUCCCAUUCCCUGCUCAUUCCCAUUCCCAUUCCCAUUCCCAUUCCCAUUCCCAUUCCCACACCCACUCCCAUUCCCACUCCCACUCCCAUUCCCAUUCCCAUUCCCAUUCAUAUCCCUGGCUCAUUCCCAGUGGGAAUCAGCACCUCCAUCCUGGGAGCUGAUCCCAUUCCAUUUCCCAUUCCCAUUUCCAUUUAAUUUCCCAUUCCCAUUCCCAUUCCCAGUAGGAAUCGUCACCUCCAGCCCGGGAACUGAUCCCAUUCCAUUCCCCAUUCCCAUUCCCCAUUCCAUUUCCCAUUCCCAUCCCAGCCCUGGAACCCAUCCCUGUCCCAGUGGGAUCCAGACGGGGCCGUGUCCGAGCCCCGCCGGAAUUCCAGAGGGACAAAAUCCACAGCUGUUCCCUUGGAGCGACCCCACACAGGGACAGGAACCCCCGAUCCCAGAGCUGUGUCCCUUUGGAAUUCCAGAGGGAAAAUGGGAUAAGAACCCCUGA
rnacentral:lncRNA from 1 species